rnacentral:rRNA from 1 species
GACGAACGCUGGCGGCGUGCUUAACACAUGCAAGUUGAGCGCUGAAGGUUGGUACUUGUACCGACCGGGUGAGCCGCGAACGGGUGAGUAACGUGUGGGGCAUCUGCCUUUCAGCGGGGGACAACCAUUGGACACGAAUGCUAAUCCCACAUAAACACUUUCAACACAGGUUUUAAUUUUGAAAGAUGCAAUUGCAUCACUCACACAUGAUCCCGCGUUGUAUUAGCUAGUUGGUGAGGUAAAGGCUCACCAAGGCGAGGACACCUAGCCGACCUGAGAGGAUGAUCGGCCACAUUGGGACUGAGACACGGCCCAAACUCCUACGGGAGGCAGCAGGAGGGAAUCGUCGGCAAGGGACGAGAGUCUGACCGAGAAACGCGGCGUGAGUGAAGAAGGUUUUCGGAUCGUAGAUGUCUGUUGGUAGAGAAGAACGUGGGUUAGAGUGGAAAGCACAUCAAGUGACGGUAACUGCCCAAAAAGCAACGGCUAACUACGUG